ACUGUGUGUUGUGAAGCACAUUACGGUUACGUGCAGUGAUCUGCAGGCCGUCCCAUUAAGCUGCUCCCCCUUCACUGCCUGCACUACUCUGGGCAUGGGGGUCACAGCGUGGGGGUCACAGUGGGGUGAGGGAUUCGCUGGGGUCCUGGGGGGGGUCACAGCUCACGUCCUGCUGUGGUGGUUCGGGUGUGCCGUGCUCACAGGGCCCUGCAUCCGACCCCACCUCUGGGGACACAUCCGUCCCCUCCACUCUCUCCUCCGAUCCCCCUGGGGAUGGACCUCCCCAUGCCCCCUCCGCAGGGCUGAUCUCACUGUCG
rnacentral:lncRNA from 1 species